AGGAAGUCAGCCUGAUAAAGAAAUUAAAAGUGGUGGUUGUUGACAUCAUCAUAACAUUCAUAUCCAAAUCUCAUCCAAAGAGGAGGUAAGGCGAAGUGUUGCUGACAAGUCAUCUGGACAACCUGCGUAAUGUAACAGACUUAAAAAUGCAUGCAGGCACACAACAGGAGGCUCUGUUGUUCAGGCCUAACUAGAUUGCUGAUGCUUCUGUUCCUCAGGAUUCUCCUUGGAUCAGAUGAGAGAAAGAAAAUGAGAAGAUGUGUGUGCUGAGGGUGAUGAUAAGAUUGAAAUGAACACCUGCUCACAGUUCUACUUAGUUCAGCUACUUCGUUAAGGUGAGCGUCCAUCCUGCCAGCACUCUGAGAUGGUGCCAGCCCCCAUGAUCAGGGUGCUGCGAUUGGGGGUGGCCAGGACAUACAACACAGCUGAAUAGCUCGAACUGGGCUGGCUCAGAGCAUGGGUGAGGAGGCAUGCAGCUGGACAUACCUGCCCACGUACCUCUUGCUACAUGUUUUAUUUGACACACAGUGGGUACCCAUGAUUUCUGCUGAUGGUAGUUGGUCCUAACUGUAAGGAGAUCAGAAUCUCCAUUAUGUGCCUACUGAAAUCCCAGCCGAGAUUCAAUCUUAACUCCAGUAGCCGAGUCAAACCUUGUUAGAUGGUAGGUGCUGCUUAACCACUUUGAUGUAGAUAAAAUUUGAAUAGAUAAACAAAGGUGAACAAACUAGAUGUAGCGGGAAGAGGAAAACCAAACAAGGACUUUAAUCCAUUGAAAUUAUACAUGUAAGUUUGCAUACUAGCCCUUUACAUUAGCUUGUCUCAAUCUCACCUAUUUGCUAUGAUGCAUGGAGAAGUAUAUAUGAUUCUAUGGUGUCAUGAUUGUCCUGACAUUUCCAUAUGCAACUUUGACCAGAGAGCUCAAGAAUAAAAUCUGAUGAGAAUUUAUUAUGCAAUUCAAACUGAAGAGAGUUGCUCAUAUGGGUCUAAAAUAGCCUCAAACUGCUACAGUUCAAAUGAAGUGCCUUAGAAACUUCCUGACUUCACUUGAGUGGCCAGCCUGAAGGAAGGUCACAUCAUGCUGGGAGGUGAUCUAGCCUGACACAAUGGAACUAUUUCAGACUGAAAAAUAAAACUGCAUGAAGCAACUCAAAAUAGAAUAUGGUUUAUGUUAAUUUUCUUUGUUUUGCUCUCAGUAGUGGUCUUGCUUUUUUGUAAUGACCUGCCCUUGAUCUGAAAGCUGAAAACUCACUUUUAAAAUCUGUCUUCACUGAGGACAUACCAUCAGUUACCAGCUUAAUGGCAUUGCCUCUGCUUUCUUAUUUACCUUUGUUUUACAGAUGUGUGUAUACAUAUGAGCUUA